CUGCCAUGGCAACGCCCCCCCACGCGGGGGAGGGGCGCGGUUUGUGACGUCAGGCCCCGCCCCCUCCAACCUUGGGGGCCGUUACUUAGGGUGGGCCCCGCCCCCAUCGAUCAAUCAAUCGAUACUACUUAGGGAUCGCUGCCCCCCCCAUCGAUCAAUCAAUCCUACUUAGUGACCGUUUCCCCCCCUUCCCCCCCCGCCCCCAUCAUCCCACUAAGAGCGCUCUCAGGGAACAUCAUCCAGCAGAAUUUGAACAGAUCCGUUCUUUGAUCGGAAUCGUGGUGAAAGCUUUCCCCUCUGAUUCUUUUUUAACUGAUGGUAUGAUCUAUUUAGGAUUUUGGGGAAGCCUCUGCAAGUAUAGAGCACUGUACUCGGCGCUUGGGAGAACCCACCACUGACCUAAGCGCUUGGGAUUUGGGGGGAACGUUUACAAGUAUAGAGCACUGUACUCAUUGCUUGGGAGAGCCCACCACUGAACUAAACGCUUGGGAUCUUGGGGGAGCACCUACAAGUAUGAAGCACUGUACUUAGCCCUUGGGAGAGCCCACCACUGACCUAAGAGUGCUUAGGAUAUUUGGGGAGCACUUACUAAGUAC